GCCCUUCGGGGUGCAGCAGGCGCGAAAACUUUGCAAUAAGCGAAAGCUUGACAGGGCUAUCCCGAGUGCCAUCCGCUGAGGAAGGCUUUUACCCAGUCUAGAACGCUGGGGGAAUAAGGAGAGGGCAAGUCUGGUGUCAGCCGCCGCGGUAAUACCAGCUCUCCGAGUGGUGUGGAUGUUUAUUGGGCCUAAAGCAUCCGUAGCUGGCUAAGUUAGUCCCUUGUUAAAUCCACCGAAUUAAUCGUUGGAUUGCGGGGGAUACUGCUUGGCUAGGGGACGAGAGAGGCAGACGGUAUUUCCGGGGUAGGGGUGAAAUCCUAUAAUCCCGGGAAGACCACCAGUGGCGAAGGCUGUCUGCUAGAACGCGCCCGACGGUGAGGGAUGAAAGCUGGGGGAGCGAACCGGAUUAGAUACCCGGGUAGUCCCAGCUGUAAACGAUGCAGGCUAGGUGUUUGGACGGCCACGUGCCGUUCUAGUGCCGCAGGGAAGCUGUUAAGCCUGCCGCCUGGGGAGUACGAUCGCAAGAUUGAAACUUGAAGGAAUUGGCGGGGGAGCAC
rnacentral:rRNA from 1 species